AACGAACGCUGGCGGCGUGCCUAACACAUGCAAGUCGAACGGAGGCAAGGGGCUUGCUCCUUGCUUUAGUGGCGCACGGGUGAGUAACGCGUGGAUAAUCUGCCCGAUGCUCUGGGAUAACAUCUCGAAAGGGGUGCUAAUACCGGAUAAGCCCACGGGGUCUUAGGAUCUUGCGGGAAAAGGGGGGGACCUUCGGGCCUCCCGACAUCGGAUGAGUCCGCGUCCCAUUAGCUAGUUGGUGGGGUAAAGGCCUACCAAGGCGACGAUGGGUAGCUGGUCUGAGAGGAUGAUCAGCCACACUGGAACUGAGACACGGUCCAGACUCCUACGGGAGGCAGCAGUGGGGAAUUUUGCGCAAUGGGGGCAACCCUGACGCAGCAACGCCGCGUGAGUGAUGAAGGCCUUUGGGUCGUAAAGCUCUGUCAGAGGGAAAGAAAUGUGGGCGACUAAUAAUUGUUCCACUUGACGGUACCCUCAAAGGAAGCACCGGCUAACUCCGUGCCAGCCGCCGCAGUAAAAC
rnacentral:rRNA from 1 species